GACAGAGGGUGCAACCGUUGUUCGGAAUUACUGGGCGUAAAGCGCGUGUAGGCGGCCCGGAAAGUCGGAUGUGAAAGCCCUGGGCUUAACCUAGGAAGUGCAUUCGAAACUGCUGGGCUUGAGUUCUGGAGAGGAAGGCGGAAUUCUCGGUGUAGAGGUGAAAUUCGUAGAUAUCGAGAGGAACACCGGUGGCGAAGGCGGCCUUCUGGACAGUGACUGACGCUGGGACGCGAAAGCGUGGGGAGCAAACAGG
rnacentral:rRNA from 1 species